rnacentral:rRNA from 1 species
GAUGAACGCUGGCGGCGUGCCUAAUACAUGCAAGUCGAGCGAACGGACGAGAAGCUUGCUUCUCUGAUGUUAGCGGCGGACGGGUGAGUAACACGUGGAUAACCUACCUAUAAGACUGGGAUAACUUCGGGAAACCGGAGCUAAUACCGGAUAAUAUUUUGAACCGCAUGGUUCAAAAGUGAAAGACGGUCUUGCUGUCACUUAUAGAUGGAUCCGCGCUGCAUUAGCUAGUUGGUAAGGUAACGGCUUACCAAGGCAACGAUGCAUAGCCGACCUGAGAGGGUGAUCGGCCACACUGGAACUGAGACACGGUCCAGACUCCUACGGGAGGCAGCAGUAGGGAAUCUUCCGCAAUGGGCGAAAGCCUGACGGAGCAACGCCGCGUGAGUGAUGAAGGUCUUCGGAUCGUAAAACUCUGUUAUUAGGGAAGAACAUAUGUGUAAGUAACUGUGCACAUCUUGACGGUACCUAAUCAGAAAGCCACGGCUAACUACGUGCCAGCAGCCGCGGUAAUACGUAGGUGGCAAGCGUUAUCCGGAAUUAUUGGGCGUAAGGCGCGCGUAGGCGGUUUUUUAAGUCUGAUGUGAAAGCCCACGGCUCAACCGUGGAGGGUCAUUGGAAACUGGAAAACUUGAGUGCAGAAGAGGAAAGUGGAAUUCCAUGUGUAGCGGUGAAAUGCGCAGAGAUAUGGAGGAACACCAGUGGCGAAGGCGACUUUCUGGUCUGUAACUGACGCUGAUGUGCGAAGCGUGGGGAUCAAACAGG